GAGCUGCCUGCCUGCCAGGACAGGGACAGGUGGUGGCCAGGCCUGAGGUCUUGUCCGCCCCCAGCUGUCCAGACCCGGGGGCCACAGCAGGCAGCCUGGACGGGCUGUGAGCCAGGUGACAGGAUGGGCCUUGCUUCGCUCCCGCUGCUAUUGAACAUCUGGAGCUGAUAAACGGCCCCAAGACGGCCCCACACCCUCGCGAUGGAGCCCGCCCUUCAGCGAGCUUGGCGUGCCUUGACGAACUCCUGCUCAUCCUUCAAACUCAGCCCCACUAUUUCCUUCUCCAAGAACUCUUUCCCCUGGGACUUCCCUAGACACCCCCUUCACUUGGCCAAGCCCUGUCCUCAUCUCCGUCAGGUUCUUUUCUGUUGUUUGUUUUUUGAGACAAAGUUUUGCUAUGUAGUCCACGUCGCCCUGGAACUCAUCACACAGCUCAGUCUGGGCUAAAACUGGGGCUCCUCCUGCCUCAGCCUCCUAGAGUGCUAAGAUGAUAUGUGGGCGGGUGCCACCGUGCCAGCUAGCUUGUGUGGACGAGAGGGCCCCUCCUGGCCCCAGCAUGGCCAGUUUCUUCUUUCUCCUGCCAGGGAGUACCCGAACACCCAUUCCUGCCCCUCCAUCUGUCCCAGCCCUGAUCCCUCAAUGCAGGGGCAGCUGGGUCCAGCUCUGGCCUCCCAGGCUGGGGGUUCCUGGGCGGCGUGGCAACUGGACCCCCCACCAGUCCCCUCAGAGGGGCUACCUGGCCCAUCUGGCACAGGCGUGGCCUCAGGGGGCUGAGGGGGCCCCUGCAGAAGGAGAGGCUGAGCGAAUCACCCCAUGACAAUGAUGGGCCAUUAGGGUCCCUGCAACAGAAACUGCAGUGAGCUGGGUCCUGUCACCACAGCAUUCGGGAGGCUGAGGCUGGAAGAUCUAGAGUUCGAGGCCAGCCUGGGCUGCAUAGGGAGACCCAGUCUCAAACCGAAACAUAGGCACUCGUGGCUCGGUCAGAGCUUUCCGUCUUUAUCUCAGUGCCCAGAAAUCAUCGACAGUCAGCUCUGCAAAACCGGGAGCCUGGGAGGCGGAGCGUGAGGGCUGCCGAGGGGGCCCCUCCUGGGGCAGCCACAGGACCCCCAGGCGGGCGCGUCCUGCCUCGCGCAUUCCUGAGGAUCGGGUUACGGCCGGCGCCGCCUCCUCCGCCCGCUUCCGCCUUGCCGGCUUCCCCCGCCGUCCCCACCCACGCAGGUGUUCCCGCGCCACGCAGGGGUCCCGAAGUCUGCCUGCUGGCUUGGCGCUGCCUCCUUCCUGCCUCGGUUUACAAAUGAGGAAACUGAGGUGCAGCCAGGCCCGCACAGCGGUGGUAGAACCGGCUUGAACCUGGCAGAUCCUGCUUUUUGACCCCAGUCCCCUUGUUUCUCUCCAAUCCUCCAGCAGGCUGUGCUGGCCCAGCCUCCUCCAGCUCAGGAGAGCGGCGCAGUCAGGCCGGUGUUUGUUGACAGACUGACUGACCGUCCGGAGGGAGCCCCUAAAACAAGGCCUGAAUGUUCCCUGACAACCCCCAGUCUGUCUUAGCUUCAAUAGAAACAGAGCGAAAGGGAACCUUCGAGUCCUCAGCUUCUCUUGCCAGAAACAAGGAAAUCGAAAACUGAAGAUGUGAGAUCCAGAUCGAGGCCCAGCCCCGCCUCCUCGGGGACCCUUGGCCCAAGCCAGGGAUGUGGGGACCCAGGGGACAGCAGCGCCCUGUCCCUGGGUCUAGCGCUGUGGGUGUCCCAGCCUUGCCUGCCCCGCGGUUCCGGCCUGCCGCAGCCACCUGCUGACCCAUUUCCGGGGAGCCGCUCUGGGCGGCUUCAGGUUUGUGCCAGGAAAUGGAAGUCCCCACCUCUGCCCAGAGGCCUCUGGGACCGUCCCCACCCCAGCCUGUGGGCCCCUGACAGCCUUCCCAGCUGCAGGAGCCGGUGAAUAGUUGAGUGGUCACGCCUGUCAUCCCAGCAUCAGGAGACUGAGCCAGGAGGAUCGCCCCAAGUCCGAGGCCAGCCUGUUACACAGGGAGUUCAAGGCCAGCCUGCACUACACAGCGAGACCCUGCGUCAAUAAACAACCAAGGUGGAAGUUCAUGGGCUGAAGACCCAGCAGCCCAAAACAAAUUCACCAACGGGUCAGUGUGGACCCCGUGGUCCUGAGAUGAUCAGAGGACUCCGGGAUCCGCCCCACCACCACCAUGAGACUCAAGUCGGCAGACGUGGGCCCUUCCCUCUGUGCACCUGGUGGCCCGCGGGGGUGACACAUGGGGCCAUCAGCUGGUGACAAAGGUGAGAGGAACUCACAGGGAGAGAAGGGAAGGCCAGGAGGGGGUCAGAGGGCCCAAGACAGCAGCAAAGAGGGUGGGGGCAGAUGCCUGAAGGAAGGGCUGCCCCAGGGUGGUGAUUCCAGGCCUGUGGGAGAAUAGCUCAGAGGAGGCCUGGAGUGGAGUGGAGAGGCCCACAGAGGGAUCUGAGGGCUGCCCAGAGCCUAAGCAGCUGAAGUGCUUAGGGUCCUUGAAACCGAACACUGCUCUACCUGCCUCAGUUCCCCACCAGCAUCCAGACCCCAGAGGACACAGGAAGCUCAAGUUUGCGGACCAGCCUGGUUUCCCCCACAUCUCCAGUGGCUGCCUAUGGCAGCCCGUUUCCACGUCACCCUCCACUGCGUCCGGUGUGCCCACUUGUGUGGCACCCCCACCCUCCCAGGGGACACUGGGGUUGCUGUGGACAUGGAGAGAGCAUCCAGGUCCUCUGUGUAAAAAUAAGCCCCCCCCCCAGGAGGGGGCGGCUGUGACGGUGCAGGCUGCGGUG
rnacentral:lncRNA from 1 species